GCCACCGUAGCACAAUGGUUAGUGUGUUGCUUUCCUAUUAAGGUUAGGCAGAGGUUGCGGGUUCGAGUCCCGUCGGUGGUU